UAUAGAAUGAAUGAAACAGAA
rnacentral:piRNA from 1 species